AACGAACGCUGGCGGCAGGCUUAACACAUGCAAGUCGAGCGCCCCGCCAGGGGAGCGGCAGACGGGUGAUUAACGCGGGGGAACGUACCAUUUGGUUCGUAACCACUCUGUGAAACUGGAGCUACUACCGGAUAAGCCCUAACGUGGCAAGGUUUAUCGACCAAGGAUCGGCCCGCUUCUGAUUAGCUAGUUGGUGAGGGCACGGCUCACCAAGGCGACGAUCAGUAGCUGGUAUGAGAGGAUGAUCCGCCACACUGGAACUGGGACACGGCCCAGAAUCCUACGGGAGGCAGGAGUGGGGAAUAUUGGACAAUGGGCGCAAGCAUGAUCCAGCCAUGACGGGUGAGUGAUGAAGGCAUUAGGGUUGUAAAGCUCUUUUGUCCGGGAAGAUAUUGACUGUACCGGAAGAAUAAGCCCCGGCUAACUUCGUG
rnacentral:rRNA from 1 species